CCCUUGAAGCUUGACUAACAGUUUAAUCACACAAGAAACAUGUUUAAUUCUGGGGCACACACCAUGAAAUUUAAGAUGAGGAAGACAAACUUAAUACAUGUUUGUCUUGGUUCAUAGCCUAAGCUGAUGCUUCUGCCUGGCCUAUGAUAGCAAUGUUGUGAUGUCACAAAGGAAGUUGAAUCUUACAUUUUCAACCAAUCAAAGAGCAAAGUAGAAAUAAAGUCCAAGUUCAGAUGUUUCUUUUUACAUUUUGAGAGUCAAGGAAGAUAGGAAACAACCAGAACUAGCGCCCCGAACAGCUGCAAAUACCGAAUCACAGCAGAAAGAGAAUCAGCAUAUCUGAAGUUUACCUGAUUCAUAAACGGAUAAAACUGGAGUGACAGAAGUAAUACAGACUGAAUGUCUUGCUGUUAACACAAAUCACUGUUAUUGAUUAAAAUGUGUAACAGUACCACUAAAACAUUCUUCUAUAAAAACAGAUGAACAACUCACAGUAUGGCAUGAAAGGAAAUAGAGGAUCAGUAGCAGCCCUUGAGAGCAGAGUUACAAUGGGACUAAAGCAGUGGAAGGAGCUGAUCCUCUCUUCAUCAGUUUCCCAAUCAAAAUCACAUGCCAUCCCUAGGGGAGCAGGAGGAAGGGGGGAGAGGAUGGAAAAAUGAGGCAACAUCUUCAAGACUAACACACAAUACAAGAUGCAGG